AUGGGAAUUUCAUGUCUUUUGUAUUAAAGAAUUAAAUGGAUGAAAUAUGAAGUUUUAUUAAAAGAAAAAGGGGUGAAAAGAACAAAGUUUUGUCCAUCUUUGUUCAUCAUAGCUGAAAGUUAGAGAAGAGAAAGGAGAGGAGAAAGCUCUUGAGUAUUCGGUCAUUAGGAGGAGGAAAAUUGAAGGCGGUUCGUGUGUGGAUCUCGUCAGCAUAGCUCGCAAACAGGAAAUCCCCAACCAUAAUGGGCUUGGAGCUGUGAGGGAAUUUGGAGUGGCCACCCGUUCUGAAAGUUUGGUUUUAUUCUGGUGAACUAGACAUCCUAUUAUUUACGUUGAGGUUUGGGUUUUUAAAUGUAAUAAGGCCGCUUAAUUAUUUUUGAUGGUUUUAAUAUAUAUUACUAAGAUAGGUAUUACUUA